UGAUAUUAUAAAUAUAAGAAAUCGCAAUUAUUGGAGUCUCUUUCAACGCUGUUGGUGGUGGCUGGUGCCUGCCUCCAUUCGCUCGCUCUUCGUCGUUUCUCGAAUCUCUCUGGAAACCAAGAGCAAUUAUCCCAAUAUUUCAUCGGUAAGAAUUUGCUUUUCGAGUUCGUUUCUCGCCGUUGCAGGAGGGGAAGCGAGGAAUUUCUUCUUUCUAGGGUUUUCUGUUUCGUGCGGAAUCUUUUUUUUUUCGGUUGAAUUUAGGGGUUUUGCUGCUAUAAUUUUCCGUCUUUUGCUAGCGGUUGAAAUACGGCCGAUUAAUUGGUUAGUAAGACGCUCGAAUUUUUGUUUCCAGACUUUGUGCAUUUUCCGAUCUGCUUUUUGAAUUUUCAAUACAAAAUCGUAAAUACCAGUUGCGUCGGAAAUUUUGACCAUUAAUUGAAUCUGAGGAGUUGAGGAUAAGGGGUUUUGUUGGAGAAAUUCUAUCUAGGCGAGUUCUUGAUAUUAUUGGGGGUCAGUUUUGCCAUCUAUACCGAAGUCGAACCCUAUCUCAGUCAUGGCUGCUGGAAGGCAUAGGGGCAUUAGGGACACUGAAUUCAAGGAUCGGGAAGUUGCUUCUCGGGUCUCUAAGAAGGAAAACGGCCACACGGAAGGGGGCUAUGAACGUGCUAGGAAUGGAUUUAAAGAGUAUAAGAGGGGUCAGGAUUGGGAUCGAGAUAGUCUGAAAUAUAGAGAUAGGGUGAGGCAGAAGGAUAUCAAAGAAAGAGAUAUUAUGAAUGGUGGGCAUCACCGUACCUCUAGUCAAAAUAAUUCUGGAAGUAGCAGUGGUGGUGAGCCAGGGAGGCGUGUAGUUAUGAUUAAUGCAGUAGAUCGAGAACCUGGAGAGUUGUUGAGUGAGGAGUCUGAUGGGUCUGUUGAUUCGGAAGUUCAGGUUAACGGAGAGACUGAUGUGAAAGGGAUGGAGAAGGGUCAGACACAACUGUCUCCCUCACAGAAUAAGAAACGAAAGUUUUCUCCAAUUGUAUGGGACAGAGAUGAAGGGGAGGCAACCAGACCCCUCAAAAGUAGGUGUUCAUCAGAAACUUCUAAUCUACCAGCACUGCCUCCGAAAGCCAAGUCUCAUGGGCCGUCACCAAACCCAAACCCUAACCUUCAUGGGUCCUUGCAACAUUCUUCCAGGGCUGUUGUUAAUCUGGAUGAAUCACCUCAGAAAGUGAGCACAACACUUGAGUUAUCUGAACUUCAUUCUGAAAAAUCUCCUAUGCACCCAGAACAAUGGGUUAACAACAAGGAAAGUGAGCCAGUGGACGAAGAUGAUUGUGUGCCAAUGCGAACCAUAAUCUCUUCUCGUUGGGCAACUGAUGCUGACUCUCCAGCCGAUGAAGGUGAGAUCUCUAAUUAUGAUGAAAUGUUGAGAUUGAGGAGCAAACCUGGAUCAGAUUCAGCUGGAGCAUGGGGGCGUAGUAAGUCCAUAACUCCAGAAGAUGGGGAGGUCAAAAUAGAUGGUUCUGAAGGAGCUACAGGAAAAUCAUCUGGGUCGGAUGAAUACACAAGGUCUUCCUAUAGAGGAAGUUCCCAUGAAGAAAUGGAGAUGGAUGAUGAUCAAAAUUACGAUGGCUCUAGUGUUCAUUCUGAAACCAAGUUCGAGAAUAGUCAUGGUUCCCCUGAACCAGCUCACCCCCAACAAAGGAGUGUUAACAUGCUUCAUGGUUGCAGAAGUGUAGAUGAGUUUGAGAAACUGAACAAGAUUAACGAAGGCACUUAUGGGGUUGUGUAUAGAGCCAGGGAUAAAAAGACUGGAGAAAUUGUUGCUUUGAAGAAAGUCAAGAUGGAGAAGGAGAGAGAAGGUUUCCCGUUGACUUCACUCAGAGAAAUUAACAUUCUUCUAUCUUUUGACCACCCCUCCAUAGUGAAUGUCAAAGAAGUGGUUAUGGGGAAUCUUGAUAGCAUUUUUAUGGCUAUGGAAUACAUGGAGCAUGAUCUUAAGGCAUUGAUUGAGACUAUGAAACAACCUUUUAGUCAAAGUGAAGUUAAAUGUCUCAUGCUUCAGCUUUUGGGAGGAGUGAAGUAUCUUCAUGAUAAUUGGGUACUCCACCGUGAUCUGAAAACUUCAAACCUUCUAUUAAACAACUGUGGUGAGCUGAAGAUAUGUGAUUUUGGUCUGGCUCGUCAGUAUGGGAGCCCACUGAAACCAUAUACACAAUUGGUGGUUACUUUGUGGUACAGGGCGCCUGAGCUACUUUUGGGAGCCAAGGAAUAUUCUACAGCAAUUGAUAUGUGGUCUGUGGGGUGUAUUAUGGCUGAACUAUUAUCGAAAGAGCCAUUGUUCAAUGGGAAGACUGAAUUUGAUCAGCUUGACAAGAUAUUCAGGAUUCUUGGCACUCCAAAUGAGAAAAUUUGGCCUGGGUAUUCCAAACUCCCUGGAGUUAAGGUUAACUUCGUCAAGCAUCAGUAUAACCAGUUGCGUCGAAAAUUUCCAGCAACAUCAUUUACAGGCUCACCUGUACUCUCUGAUGCUGGAUUUGAUCUUCUAAGCAAGCUUCUUACUUAUGAUCCUGAAAAGCGCAUUACCGCUGAAGCAGCUCUCAAUCAUGAGUGGUUUCGUGAAGUUCCACUUCCCAAGGCUAGGGAAUUUAUGCCUACUUAUCCUGCUCAGAAUGCACAAGAUAGGCAUGUGCGAAGAGUAAUAAAGAGUCCCGACCCGUUAGAGGAGCUGCGGAGAAAGGAGAUACAACAAGGAGUGCUAGGCAUUAGUGGUCUCUUUUCUCAAUAGCUUCCAGAAGGAUUAUCAUGAUUUUGAUACUACAUUAUCUAAUAUUCAUGAUUGAGGUGAGAGCUAUGGCACAAAGGAAGUUGCAAUAUUGCUUGUGAGAAUGUCGAACCUUGCUGUUUUUUACCCGGCAUCUUUGAUGAAUCCACUUUGACCAACAUUUCAUGGCCUCUAUCUAGGACUUGAGACAUUGUGCAGGUCUACUCUCCUGCUUGGGCUUGGCUGAUGACAGGAUGCAUCUUUGCUAUCUCUUACCCGAGAAGAGGUGGGGUGUGUACCGGAGGGGACUUUCUUAGCUUUUCAUUGCUGAACAAUUUGCAGGAGUUUAGCACUCUUCAGUACCCAAGCCAAGCAGGUUGAGAGCUGAAAGUUGGCAUAUAUAGAACUCGAUUUUUUUUUGGUUCACAGAUUAUUCGUCUUCUGAAAGUUUAGAAAGGUACUGCAGAAUUCUGUCUACUGUACUGCUUUCUAAUCCAUUUAGUUAUGCAGUUACUUGCUGUUUUUGAUACACAUGCAUAUCCCAGUAGUUUAUGGAACUAUUAUGUAAUGUUUGUUGCUUGCUUUUGGGUUCUGUGCUGCUUUUUCAAGUAUUAGUUUGAUGUGAUGCACCACACUUGUAAUGGAUUGAUUUAGGUAUAUUAAGUGAAUUGACACUCCUAGUGUGUUCAAACUGCCAAUGACCUCUUAUCUGAAGUUCGUUCUUUUAUUUCUAAAUGCAACAUAGGGUUGUGGAGUGGGUAGGUCCUAGGCGGAGGUGUAGAUAGUGCAGCGAUUUCUCACUUCUGAUUAUCAGUGAGGAAUUUAUGUUCAUACAAUAUUAGAGAUAUAUUCUCCUUGUGGCAUUCUUACUUGGUGCGUGACUUUGCAAGCUUAUACGUUGUUAGUGUACAUUUUAAUUUCAAAAUUUGAAUUGGUUUGAAGAUAUGCUUGAAAAGUACACUGCAAGAUUCUUGUUUGAUUUCAUUUGAUAAAGGUUGCUCGGAGUUGAUGAGUAGUUUUUGGGUGUAGCACUUGUGUGUCUAUAUAUACAUAUGUGUCUAACAAUGGUCGUCUUUUCAUGUCUGUUUGGUGGGUGAUGAGCUCACCAUGGAGAAGAUUGCUCGCAAGUGCGUGCACCAAGAAGAGAUGGGAGUGUGGAUGAAUUGUUUGAUUUCCCUUCCUGUAAUAUGUGUUGUUAAGGCAGGCAGGGAGGCUAUUUUGUACCCAUGUUUGAUGACUUCUGGUGCAGGAAUUGCAAAAUUAGCAACAGGACUUAACUUACAACUCUGUUUCUAUCUUUCACUCCUUUUUAUUUUAUUUUAUUUUUUUAUUUUUAUUUU